rnacentral:rRNA from 1 species
GAUGAACGCUAGCGGGAGGCUUAACACAUGCAAGUCGAGCGGGAUUGGUAGCAAUACCAUGAGAGCGGCGCACGGGUGCGUAACGCGUAUGCAACCUGCCUUAUACAGGGGGAUAGCCCAUGGAAACGUGGAUUAAUACCCCAUAGUACUGUUAUUUCGCAUGUUAUAACGGUUAAAGCUUAGGUGGUAUAAGAUGGGCAUGCGUAGGAUUAGCUAGUAGGUAGUGUAACGGACUACCUAGGCGACGAUCCUUAGGGGUUCUGAGAGGAGUACCCCCCAGAAUGGUGCUGAGGCACGGACCAGAAUCCUACGGGAGGGAGCAGUGAGGAAUAUUGGUCAAUGGCCGGAAGGCUGAACCAGCCAUCCCGCGUGCAGGAUGACGGCCCUAUGGGUUGUAAACUGCUUUUUUGCGACAAGAAACCUGGUUACGAGUAACCAGUUGACGGUAGCGUAAGAAUAAGCAUCGGCUAACUCCGUGCCAACCGCCGCAGUAACAC